AUCCAGAUGACGAGACCCAAAUAGGACAAAAUGUGCAUCCUGGAU
rnacentral:hammerhead_ribozyme from 1 species